AGAGAGUCUGCCUCAAGAAGUCUAAUGCAUAGCUGUGAGAGCUGCCAGUUGGAGUCAGAGGGAAGAGGCUGCAAUGUAACAAAGCUGCUAAAGAGAUGAAACCUGUAAAGACAGGUGCAGAAGGAGAUGGAAGGCAUGAGGUCAAAGGGAAGCUUGCUCCUUUUUGUAUUGGAGAUUCUCCACAUUCCAGUAUGUAGAUCAUGUUGGCAGCUGGAACUGGAAGUUGCCUUAAAGAAGUCACUUUUCUGGCCUCUAAAAUUCUUCCUUCAGGAGGCAGGGAGGAAGCAGAUAUAAACAGAAUCAUCAAAGUCCAGUGGCAGGACAAAGAUCAAGAUGACUGGUUAUGGCCUGUGAUGCAAUGGAUGACCUUGGCAUCUUCAAUGUCUGACCAAGCUCUAAGCACUCCUCGAUGCCUGAUUCAGCUACCUGCAUGGCUAUCGGAACAAAUUGUUCUCAUCCACCCAUUCCACCAGGGGAAAUAUUCCCAUGCUUGGAGUAGACAUUCCCUUAACUCACUGAUGGGUUGGAUGCCUGUCAGUUACUCUCAAUCUGGUUUUUAGCCUGUCUGCUUAAAUGGUUUUACUGGUGUCAACCUGACCAAACCAGCCUGUAAUCUGUGGAUAGCUGGAGCCAAACAGCACAUGCUAGAGAUAAGAGAGUUUGGACUCAAACGACAGUUUAAUUUCAAAGUGAGGGAAGCAGCUUACAAGCAAGGAGGCCAAUUAGACACAUGUGCCAGGGCCUCACCCCUAGUAGGGGGACCUGAGGCACCACAGGUGGUUGAGCAACCCUGAAAAGGGCUCAGCAAGUCCUCACACCAGAGGUGCUAGCUUGCUCUCUCUCUCUCUGUCUCUCUGUCUCUCUGUCUCUCUGUCUCU